rnacentral:rRNA from 1 species
UACAGAGGUCUCAAGCGUUGUUCGGAUUCAUUGGGCGUAAAGGGCGCGUAGGCGGUUCGUUAAGUCCUGUGUGAAAUCCCCCGGCUCAACUGGGGAACUGCACAGGAAACUAGCGGGCUUGAGUUCGGGAGAGGGAAGCGGAAUUCCGGGUGUAGCGGUGAAAUGCGUAGAUAUCCGGAGGAACACCAGUGGCGAAGGCGACUACCUGGCCUGUUCUUGACGCUGAGGCGCGAAAGCUAGGGGAGCAAACGGG